GUUGCUGAUUAUUAGUAUUAAUCACGCCCUUCAUGUUGUAACUUAGCGUAGCUGCGGAGAGGCGUAUCUGAUAACUGAAGAAAGCUUCUGAUCAACUUGACAAUAUUAACGCUAAUGCAUUUAACAGCAGUGAUGACAGUUAUAAAUUUAGACUAUACAUGCAUGUUAAAAAUUUUAGUUCCAUUGUUCAACAAUUUUGGAAUCGUUGGAUUCAGAUCAACCACUAGAGAACGAAUUUUCUGAUAGUCUUCAAACUUACAAUGUUAGUGGGUUAGAUAAAACACCAAGGACCGUCAACGUUAACCAGGAAACAGUGUUGAGAAUAAAGAAUGCUCACUUUUUCUGACUCCUUGACCUCUGCAAAGAAGUUUGAAGUUCUAUUCACUGUCAUCCCAAAACUUCGCUUGUAGCAGUUAUCUUGAUACAUGAAGAAGUUAAAGUUGACACAGAAAUGUACUAGACCGAGGAAGUCCUGGAGAUGUAAUAGAUGGUUGCGGAUGCUGGAUCAUCGUAUCACCAUGGCAACAGGUGGUUGUAUACGCUGUAAUGGGUUCGUUAAUAAAUCUGUCAUCAUUCACGAAUUAACAUAAUUAUUUUGAAAAACUACUUAAACCAAAUCCUUUAUUUUAGUGUUGACAAUUAAUCUGUUAACACUGAUUCUUUUGUCAGUACGCACACAUUGUGAUGCAUUAUUAAUAAUAUAUUUCGAGUGAUAUAUAUCUUCCAGUGUAUACCGACCAUUACUAUGCAUAUACGCCCUCAAUGUAUAUAAACACAUCUCUCAGCGUAUAUGUACAUAUAUACACGGAUAAUUUAUUCAAAUCCCAUUUUUUGUAUUACAAUAUCCCUGACUGGUGCUUUAAACUUAAUAAACCAACCAACGAGUGAUAAUAUUAAAGGUUACAACUUAGUUGGAAUAUAUAUCUCAUCCAAAAUAAAGAGAUAUUUGCAAUUGUUGCAAAAUUUAUCCCUAUCUGAAGCUAAGAUAUCAUGCCAAAGGCAUUCUCUUAAAUAUUUUCGACUCGAUCUAAAAAGUAAGUAUCGAUUUCUAUAUCGUAUAAUAUUUACAAUAAGAACUAUUUUUAAAUACGUUUCAGAGAGCGAG